UACGUAGGGGCUAGCGUUGUCCGGAAUCAUUGGCGUAAAGCGCGUGUAGGCGGCCGGUAAGUCCGCUGUGAAAGUCAAGGGCUCAACCCUUGGAAUGCCGGUGAUACUGCAGGCUAGAGUCCGAAGAGGCGAGUGGAAUUCCUGGUGUAGCGUGAAAUGCGCAGGAUAUCAGAGACACGAUGGCGAAGGCAGACUCGCUGGACGGUACUGACGCUGAGGCGCGAAGCGUGGGAGCAAACAGG
rnacentral:rRNA from 1 species